CCUACGGGAGGCAGCAGUGGGGAAUAUUGGGCAAUGGACGCAACCCUGACCCAGCAACGCCGCGUGAAUGAAGACGGUCCUCGGGUUGUUAAGUUCUUUUAUCCGGGACGAAAGAAAUGACGGUACCUGAGUAAUAAGCCACGGCCAACUACGUGCCAGCAGCCGCUGUAAUACAUAGGUGGCAAUCGUUGUCCGGAUUGACUGGUUGUAAAGGGAGCGUAGGCGGUAUGGUAAUUCAGAAGGGAAAUCCCGGGGGUCAAACCUGGAACUGCGUUUGAAACUGGUUGACUUGAGUGAAGGAGAGGUAAGCGGAAUUCCGGGUGUAGCGGUGGAAUGCGUAGAUAUAAGGAGGAACACCAGUGGCGAAGGCGGCUUACUGGAUCUUAACUGACGCUGAGGCACGAAAGUGUGGGUAGCAAACAGGAUUAGAUACCCCUGUAGUC
rnacentral:rRNA from 1 species